GUCUAUGGCGGACCGUGUGAGUGGGCGCAUGCCCAGCCGGUUCUGGUGUCUUCCCGGUACUUCCACGCUUGCACGGUCCGCCACCCCU
rnacentral:antisense_RNA from 1 species